GGGAAUGUGGCUCAGUGGUAGAGCGCUUGCCUUUCAUGCUGAGGCCCUGGGUUCGAUUCCUCAGCACCA
rnacentral:tRNA from 1 species